rnacentral:rRNA from 1 species
ACGAACGCUGGCGGCGUGCUUAACACAUGCAAGUCGAACGAAGAGCGAUGGAAGCUUGCUUCUAUCAAUCUUCGUGGCGAACGGGUGAGUAACGCGUAAUCAACCUGCCCUUCAGAGGGGGACAACAGUUGGAAACGACUGCUAAUACCGCAUACGAUCUAAUCUCGGCAUCGAGGAUAGAUGAAAGGUGGCCUCUACAUGUAAGCUAUCACUGAAGGAGGGGAUUGCGUCUGAUUAGCUAGUUGGAGGGGUAACGGCCCACCAAGGCGAUGAUCAGUAGCCGGUCUGAGAGGAUGGACGGCCACAUUGGGACUGAGACACGGCCCAGACUCCUACGGGAGGCAGCAGUGGGGAAUCUUCCGCAAUGGACGAAAGUCUGACGGAGCAACGCCGCGUGAGUGAUGACGGCCUUCGGGUUGUAAAGCUCUGUUAAUCGGGACGAAAGGCCUUCUUGCGAAUAGUGAGAAGGAUUGACGGUACCGGAAUAGAAAGCCACGGCUAACUACGUG